GGCGGCGUAGCUCAGUUGGUUAGAGCGUGGGACUCAUAAGCCCAAGGUCAGUGGUUCGAAUCCACUCGCCGCUA
rnacentral:tRNA from 2 species